rnacentral:lncRNA from 1 species
GUCCUAGUCAUCUAUUUAAGAGUGGCACAAUUUCAGGAAAUCACCUGAUAUUUCCAAUUCUCAUGUUCCUCAUUUAUGGAAUGGGAACAAUAACAACCUUAGAAAUCUACCUUGAUUGACUGUUGUAAGCAGUAAAGCAGACCACUGGGCACAGACCAUAUUUUAAAAAGUGGUUCCCUAGUCCUUGAACCCCAUCUGAUGCUCCAAGUGUGACAAUCCAGGACUGCUGGCAAGGCAGGAGGAGGGAUGGAGCUUUGUUGGACACAUCAGAAUGCAGGGAUUCAUUGACCCCUGAUCAGGGAGUAAUACUUGAAAUUAUUCUGGAGCCGGUAAAGCAAUGGGACACAGUGGAAAGAAUACUGAAUCUGCAGUUAGAUGACCCGAGUGGAAAUCCUGCAUUUGCUAAUUUAUCCAUGUGACUACGGACAAAUCUCUCAACCUCUCUUGGCCUCAGUUUUCUUUUCUGUAAAAUAAAAGAAUUGGAAUCUAACCUCUGAGUUCCCUU